AAAUAAAGCAAUUUUGCAUUUUUUGUCUAACGUUUGACCGUUCAUUUUAUUAAAAAUUUUAUGAUUGGUACUUUUAUUGUGUGUUGGAUGAUAAAACAUGAAUAAUAACUAAAUUUUGUUAACUUUUUUAUAUAUUUUUUUAAAUAAGACUGACGGUCAAACGUUAAACACGAAAAUCCACGACUGCACUUAAA
rnacentral:pre_miRNA from 1 species